UUGUGUGCCGUGAUGAUGCAUUUUUAUAUGGACUAGAGUUUCUGAUCUUGCAGUUGAAGACUAACCCUUGGCUGUCUGAGCACACAA